AUUGAACGCUGGCGGCAGGCCUAACACAUGCAAGUCGAACGGUAACAGGAAACAGCUUGCUGUUUCGCUGACGAGUGGCGGACGGGUGAGUAAUGUCUGGGAAACUGCCUGAUGGAGGGGGAUAACUACUGGAAACGGUAGCUAAUACCGCAUAACGUCGCAAGACCAAAGAGGGGGACCCUCGGACCUCUUGCCAUCGGAUGUGCCCAGAUGGGAUUAGCUUGUUGGUGGGGUAACGGCUCACCAAGGCGACGAUCCCUAGCUGGUCUGAGAGGAUGACCAGCCACACUGGAACUGAGGCACGGUCCAGACUCCUACGGGAGGCAGCAGUGGGGAAUAUUGCACAAUGGGCGCAAGCCUGAUGCAGCCAUGCCGCGUGUAUGAAGAAGGCCUUCGGGUUGUAAAGUACUUUCAGCGGGGAGGAAGGGAGUAAAGUUAAUACCUUUGCUCAUUGACGUUACCCGCAGAAGAAGCACCGGCUAACUCCGUG
rnacentral:rRNA from 1 species